CCAAGGGAAAACAAAGAAAAGUAGGUAUAGAUCUGUGUUAUAGGGAAGCAAACAUGUUCACAACUCAAAUACACCUUUUAGAACCCAUAAAAGCAUCUUGAAUCAGCUGCACUUACACAAUUUCAAAUCCAGACCUUAAAAUAGACCUUAAAACAAAAUGAGUAACACCAAUGACUAUAUUUAAGAAGCCAGACUAAGUGGAUACCAAUCCAAGUUACCAAACAACACACAAUAUUCAGAAUCUUGGGUUUUAAUUACAUAUUCAGACGUAAAAGACAAGAAGCAAACUUCUCUAAAGGAAAAGAAGACAGGCAAACAAAAGAACUAAACUAUGAACAUAACUAUUGUGGCUAGUUCUCACAACUCCUGAUCUCUAUUUUUCAAUUCCCAAGUCCAACUUUUACAUUAAGUAAAGUGUAGAAACAUGUACCUGGAGAUGGAAAAAAAUAGAAGGUAAAGGAUCAGCAGUAAUUUAGUAUAAGGCAGCAGCAGAAAUAAUUAGUGAAACCAGUUUCCAACCCAGAAAUGUUGUGCAGUACUCCAAAAGAAAAUAAUUUCAAUUGAACAAGAGUCUAGCAGACUUUGAACCAAACUUUUAAACCAAACUCAAACCAUUUCCAACCCCAGGUGAAUCAGAAUUUGUUUCAGAAAUUGAAGACUUUAAAAUUCACAGAUGAAAUGUAAUGGAACAGUGAUUGUAUUGGAACUUUUUGCCGUUUUUAAUUCCUAUCUUUCUAUCUCUGAAUCUCCCUUGAAUGCUAAGUUAGAGAGCCUUUAUAGGCAAGACAUUUAGGGCAGCUAGAUGAAGAUCAGAUUUUUCCCUCGACCCUUUUGCAAUUUUCAUUUUAGCUUAAGUACCCUUUAGUCAAAUGUCAGAAUUUCAGAACAGUCCUUCUCCCUAGCUUCCUAGAAGCUUCCCAUUCAGUUACACAAUAUUCCCCUAGCUAAUUACCCAAAAUACCCCUCUGAGCCAUGUUAAUUACCCUCAGAAAAUUCAUAGGUCCAUUGGACCCAACUACUCAAAACCAACCUAACUCUUACAGGACCUGGGCUAAUCCUUUUCUUUGGGCCCAAGUCUAACUCCAGAAUUCAGAAGAAAUGAGGAGGCAGAAAAGGCAAUUCGGAUUUCAAACCAACCAUGAACCAAAUGUUCUCAAUACCUCCCAAAAUUAAACAAACUACCCUAACAAAUUCAAACAAAACGGAAGAAGCUAAUAACUAAUAUUAACUCUAACUAAAAGGAACCACAUGCAAAGCUAAUCUUGAAAACAGAAGAAAGGGAGGGAAAAAUAGAAGAAGCUACGAGAGGAAAUGACCGGGAGAACUGGACUUACCCGCUAAACCCGGCGAACCCGAGUUUGAAAUAACUUUUCCAAAGAAUCCCCUACUUUUGGCCGAGAUAGACUUCAAUCGUAUGUUCUCAACUGAAAACACACGAUUAAAGUCCAUUUCAACCUCAAAAUCUCAAAACCUUGAUAAUCAGCUCUUUUCGGAAUUUAAGGUUAAGCUUCGAUCUAAAAUUCGAGAGGCCCCAGGAUGAUUCGAAGGCAAGUGGUUAGGGAUUUGGAAUGAGGGGGACUUGGUGGUCAUGGGGUGUAAUUUUGGUGGUGAACGGAGGUGGCGCCGCUAGGCUCGAGGUGGGGAAAAUAGAGGCGGUGCUUAGGGUUUCUGUCUCUAAAGAGGGGUGGAUUCGAGAGAGAUG
rnacentral:lncRNA from 1 species